AUUUAAGUAGCUUAAAAUUUAAAGUAUGGCAUUGAAGAUGCUGGGAUAGUUUAUACUCUUAAAUA
rnacentral:tRNA from 1 species